UAAACUUCACCUACUACCACUAACAAACUUAGUAACUUGAGCUAAUUAACUUGUACAAAUCAACAAAGCUGAUUAAUCAGCUCAAUCACCAUCAAUUUUACAUCAAAUAUAAACCUAACAUAGUUGAAAUACAACUAAGUUACAUUGCAUUAACUUAAAAAUACAAAAUAAGUGAAAACACAGCUUGCUGGCUUGAUGAACUUGCAGCUUCUGCAUGUAGUGCCCUCGACAGUCUUGGUUGCUGCAUGCUGA
rnacentral:lncRNA from 1 species